GCAGUCGUGGCCGAGUAGGUUAAGGCGAUGAACUAGAAAUCCAUUGGGGUCUCCCCGCACAGGUUCGAAUCCUGUCGACUGCG
rnacentral:tRNA from 2 species